rnacentral:rRNA from 1 species
UACGUAGGUGGCAAGCGUUGUCCGGAAUUAUUGGGCGUAAAGCGCGCGCAGGCGGUCCUUUAAGUCUGAUGUGAAAGCCCACGGCUCAACCGUGGAGGGUCAUUGGAAACUGGGGGACUUGAGUACAGAAGAGAAGAGUGGAAUUCCACGUGUAGCGGUGAAAUGCGCAGAUAUCAGGAGGAACACCAAUGGCGAAGGCAGCACUCUGGGACGUGACUGACGCUGAGACGCGAAAGCGUGGGGAGCAAACAGG